CCUCGCUCUCGGACCUACCGUCUGGAAAGUCCCGUGUGUAAAGUACACAUUAACAACGCUGCAAUAAGUUAUGUGGCGUUUUAUUCCUCGAAAACUGACUUUAUACGACAUGCAUCAUUAAUUUGGCAUGAAACUGAGUUCUCCAAGUUGAAGCUGAGGGUAGGCUGAUGUGUGGCGAUGGCGACAGGUGGACAGGAAGUCAGCGGGUGCGAGGAGAGUCCCGAAGACUCGAACCCGUGCGCGGAAGUGCUACGUGACCAGAGGGAAGAGCUUGUCCAAAGGAUCGAUCCUGGCGUGUUGGUGCCCCGCUUACAAGACAUCUUGACGUCUGAUGAGGAAAAACAACUUCUCGAUGCAUCGGAGACGGAGAAGAGGGCGGGUGGUUCUGGAGAAAACCAUGUCAAAGUUGAGGUAUUGCAUACAAUCGUCCGCUUCGCCUCAUCGAAUCCAACCGUCUUUCACGGUCUGACAAAGGUUCUUCGACAACCAGAAAUCGGUCUUGGCGAUGUCGCUACUAGACUGGAAAGUGACUUCAACAGACGACAACAAGCCCAGGCCAGCGGGCGAAAUAUGCCGGACUCCAGCAACCAGGCUCCCGAACACGGGGGUGGUACUACAGCUUCACCGAUCACACUUCAGGUCAUCAACAAUUACCACACCACAGUGAAGACUACUAACGUCAGUGUCAGUGGCAGCAAAAACGUCGUGGUGGGGGAUCAAAACUCCAUGCAGGUAUCCGAGGGUACAAUACCUGACAUGGAUGAAGACUACACGGCAGAGGAACAGGACUAUACGGCGGAGAAGGAGUGCCAGGACAGAGGGUACUCGGGCCAACCAGGAGACACCAGGGUGGGGCAGGUCGACGAUGACGUCAUCAUCAUGGAACAGUAUGAAGAAGAAGAUGAAGUGACCGAACAUAAACGCGUCGUAAGUACAGCUGCGGGAGACUGGACUGAGCCGAAGCGUGUGGACAGUGGAGAAGACUGGGGUACUAGCCCCAAGGAACCGCGCGGCGCUGAUCGCACACGGGAGAAAACACUUACCGUGGAAGGCCUGGACAGGGACACCGGGAAAGUACCUAAAGGAAAACAAGGGACUGGACAAACAGACGACUGCACUGAUCCAAAGGAACUGCGAUCUGAGCUUGACACAGAUGUGGUUGCAGACUGCGCACCCGCGGCUUCAUCGAGAGCUGCUACAAAUGAAACGAGGGAGAGCCGACACGAAACGUUGACUCUGCGUAACUACCAAAAGGAGUUGGCAGAACCAGCGAUCCAAGGGAAGAACACCAUCGUGUGCGCUCCAACCGGCAGUGGUAAGACUCAUGUCGCCAUGUCCAUCAUCAAACAGCACCUGGACAAGCGCCUCUUCUUUCAGCGUGACGCCCAAAAGGUCAACGUUGCGAAAGUCCUGGUCCUCACGCCAGAAGUCACCAUCUUGGACCAGCACUACAGGACCUUCUGCAGGUACCUGCCGCUCUUCCGCACAGGCAAGCGCAGCGGGUCGUACGUGACAAAAAGGCCGUUUGAGGAUGUCGUGGAGUCCAAUGACAUCACCGUGGCAACUCCAGAAAUCCUGCUGAAUGCGCUCCGCGACAAGACUGUGAACAUCACAGACUUUUCCCUCAUCGUGUUCGACGAGUGCCACCACACUAGGAAGGAUGCCCCCUACAACAAGAUCAUGGCGGAGUAUCUGAAGAUCAAGCUACACGACCCCCAGGCAAGCCUUCCUCAGAUAGUUGGCCUGUCCGCGAGUCCAGGCGCAGGAGGAAAGCCAGAUCUUCCAGGUGCUGAAAAGCACCUGGAGGUCCUCAUCGCUAGCUUGGAUGCAGCGGUCUUCAAAACGGUGGAGGAUCCAGAGAACAUCAAAGAGUUGGAGGAGAAGGUGAACACGCCGAGCAAGCACACACUGGUAACCGGCUCCCGGCCAGACGACCCCUUCAGGGACAUAGUGGAGGGGAUGAUGAAAGCGAUCGAGGAUCAGCUGCCGCGGGACCUACAGCUACAGUACGGCGGGCUGAGGGGAGUACAGGAGUACCAGUCUGCUGUGGACCUGGUGAAGAAGCAGGCAACAGAGGAGAGGAACACGGAUGUGGUACAACAGUGUGACCAUCUGCUGAAUUACAACAAGGCCUUACAGAUGAACAACACAGCACGUAUGAAGGAUGCUAUGGGCAUCCUGACAGAUUUCUAUGAUGAGCUGAAAGGAAGGCACAGGAUUUCAGCUGCGGAAAAGAAACUGCUCGAUCGCUUCAAUGCAAAAAGAAAGCAACUUCUUGAAGUCAGCCAGGAGGAGGAGAAUUACCCCAACCCAAAACUUGUGGAACUGGAGAAGGAAAUUCUGAAGACCAGAGUAGAGUUUGAGGAUGAAUUGAGAGGCAUUCUCUUCGUGAAGACCCGUGCCCUGACCCAGGCCAUGACCAGCUGGGUGCGGGAGACACCUGCAAUCAGGUUCCUGAACCCCGGGGUCCUGACGGGAUCGUCCGGAGAGGACGUCGGCAGACUGACACACGGCCAGCAGGUCGGCGUCAUCAAGAAGUUCAACGAUGGGGUCCACAAGCUGCUCAUCGCCACAAGUAUAGCUGAGGAAGGUCUGGACAUCCGGGACUGCAACAUGGUCAUCAAGUACAACUAUGCAACCAAUGAGAUCGCCAUGGUCCAGGCACGCGGACGCGCACGCGCGGCAGAGGGGAAGGAGCUUGUGAUUGCUGACCUGCAUAUUGCUGAGAAAGACAGGGUGAACGCCCUUACAGUGGGAGUUUCCGAGAAGGCCAUUAAGAAUAUCCAACGUCAACUACACAGCGGCGACCUCCAGCAGAAAGUCAGGAAACUGCAGCUAGACAUGGUUAAAGAUAGGGAAGAAAAGGGAAAGCAACAGGAGAUUAAAAAGGGGAUGUAUAGGGCUUCUGAAAUAAAGCUUUGCUGCAAGGGGUGCCCUGAGGACGAAAUGAUCUGUUUCGGGAGCGAGUUGAGGUUGUUAGAUCGUCACAACCAUAUCUACCCCUCUCGCCAAUGGGAUAAAGUAGAGUUCAGGGAGCACACUGACAAAAAGAAGAAAGAUUUGGGGAUCCACAAAGUCUACUGCCAGAAAUGUGGUUUCGACUUUGGCAACACCUACAAGGGUUAUCCCUGCCUGAAAAUUGCCAGCUUUAACAUCUUCCUUCCCGGUGGGGAUAUGGUUACUAAGAAGAAGUGGAAAGACGUACCGUUUGAACUGGACGAUAUGUCGGUCGUCUAAACUUGUCAUGGGUGUUAUACGCUAUAUAAUACAGCACACUUGUGAUAGAUCUGUUUUCUUCGGAAACCAUCUAUUGGAGUUUCUCACCUUCCAAAUUCUUUUACUGGUCGCAUAUGACCUUUUAUGGAGAUAUUCAAAUCAACCAAUUAUGCUACUUGUAUUAAGAAACAUCUUGGUACUGAUUCAAUUUAAUCAUUCAUUUUGCUGGAUGUAUUGACUAUUCAUUGACAUGUUUUGGUGUAUAAAAUCAUAGGUUUUUAAAAGAAACGAUUGUACUUAACAGCAAGGUAAUAUGUCCCGAAGGAUCAAUUUGAUACCAAAUGAGAUUACUAAUAAGUCACCUAGUCUCACGAAUGUACAUGCGGUUUGACUGCUCCUCAAAUAAAGUCGUCGAAUGUUGUUUGUUCUGUAAAUUUGCGUAAACCAGAUGGAGAUCUUAACAUUUCUGGCAUGAAAGUGCUCUGAGCAUAUAUUGAGUUGAUAAUACUACUUUACAGGUUGUAAACAAAUCCGUGGAAAACAUUAAAAUCCUUUCUGGGUCCAAGUGACUCCCAAAAGGGCUGAUUGA